UAUGAUGUUUUGUGUGUUGUUUCGUAAUAUAUGAUGUUUUCGUAUAUCCAUGUAGUUUUAUCUUUAUUAAAAAUUGUGUAGCCAAUUAUAUUUUUAAUAUAUGUGCAUUGAUGUAAUAUAUCAUUUAAUAUGAAACAGAGGAAGUAUUUAAUUUAUAAUGUGAUUGUUAGUUUUAAAUAACUAAGAAAAUAUCAAAAUAUCAAAA
rnacentral:lncRNA from 1 species